ACUUUGCAAUACACGAAAGUGUGACAGGGUCAUCCCGAGUGCCGACCGCUGAGGUUGGCUUUUACCCAGUCUAGAAAGCUGGGGGAAUAAGGAGAGGGCAAGUCUGGUGUCAGCCGCCGCGGUAAUACCAGCUCUCCGAGUGGUGUGGACGUUUAUUGGGCCUAAAGCAUCCGUAGCUGGCUGGGCAAGUCCCCUGUUAAAUCCACCGAUUUAAUCGUUGGUGUGCGGGGGAUACUGCUCGGCUAGGGGACGAGAGAGGCAAGCGGUAUUCCCGGGGUAGGGGUGAAAUCCUAUAAUCCCGAGAAGACCACCAGUGGCGAAGGCUGCUUGCUAGAACGCGCCCGACGGUGAGGGAUGAAAGCUGGGGGAGCGAACCGGAUUAGAUACCCGUGUAGUCC
rnacentral:rRNA from 1 species